UGGCUCAGGACGAACGCUGGCGGCGUGCCUAAUACAUGCAAGUAGAACGCUGAAAUCUGGUGCUUGCACCGGAUGGAUGAGUUGCGAACGGGUGAGUAACGCGUAGGUAACCUACCUCAUAGCGGGGGAUAACUAUUGGAAACGAUAGCUAAUACCGCAUAAUAGUCAUUAACACAUGUUAGAGACUUGAAAGGGGCAACUGCUUCACUAUGAGAUGGACCUGCGUUGUAUUAGCUAGUAGGUAGGGUAAAGGCCUACCUAGGCGACGAUACAUAGCCGACCUGAGAGGGUGAUCGGCCACACUGGGACUGAGACACGGCCCAGAA
rnacentral:rRNA from 1 species